rnacentral:rRNA from 1 species
AGAAUCAACGCUGGCGGCGUGCCUCAGACAUGCAAGUCGAACGAUUAAAGCUCUCUUCGGAGAGUGUAUAGAGUGGCGCACGGGUGAGUAACACGUAAGUAAUCUACCUUUGAGUGGGGAAUAACGUCCGGAAACGGACGCUAAUACCGCAUAAUGCAGCGGCAUCGCAAGAUGACAGUUGUUAAAGAUUUAUCGCUUGAAGAGGAGCUUGCGGCAGAUUAGCUAGUUGGUAAGGUAAUGGCUUACCAAGGCUACGAUCUGUAACCGGUCUAAGAGGACGGUCGGUCACACUGACACUGAAUAACGGGUCAGACUCCUACGGGAGCAGCAGUCGGGAAUUUUGGGCAAGUGGGCGAAAGCCUGACCCAGCAACGCCGCGUGAAGGAUGAAGUAUUUCGGUAUGUAAACUUCGAAAGAAUAGGGAAAGAAUAAAGUGAACGGUUAACCAUUUAAGUAACGGUCCGACUUAACGUACGUGCCUAAGCAGCCGAC